rnacentral:misc_RNA from 1 species
GAUGAAGAACGUAGCGAAAUGCGAUACGUAGUGUGAAUUGCAGAAUUCCGUGAACCAUCGAAUCUUUGAACGCAAAUUGCGCUCGAGGCCUCGGCUAAGAGCAUGUCUGGCUCAGCGUCGGCUUACUACCCUCAAUCAAUUACCUUGUGAUGAUUGGUUGGAGCUGGCUUUCCGGUGUUCCAAUCAGGUUGCCGGUCAGCUGAAAAACAUUCACGCUGUGGAAGUCGCUUUCCCUUCAAAAAGGAAAGCCGAGUUCCGAUUUGGUAGGUGACCUUUGCCGGUUGCAUGCCUUCGUUGCUCGUUUUGGCUUUCAUGAUAGCGUGUGCAGGACGCUAUUUUGGCUUUCGACCUGAGCUCAGGCAAGAACACCCGCUGAACUUAAGCAUAUCAAUAAGCGGAGGA